ensembl:lncRNA
CUCGCUCUGCAGCUCCUUCACAAGCUCCUGGAAAUGGGAAAGCGCCCCGGGGCUGAAUGAAGCUCUUUGACGUCACGAGUGCCCAUUAAGGGUUUAUGGGCCGAGAAGCGGAGCAAAGGGUGCCUCGAGGAGGGCUGGCAGCAGCCCCGUGUUCCGGUGUCUCCUCCUGUCCCGCUGCUGCGGGUGUCCCACGGUGCACGCAGGACGUGGGAGGUGCCCGGGGCCGCCUCUCUGCAGAACCUUAAAGCCCGGCGCGGCGCCGGGCGGGCAGGGUGCUGGCAGCAUGCAGGCGGGUGGUUGGCUCCUGCUGGGGCUGCUGGCCCUCGGUGCACCGCUGCACGCAGCGCCCGCUGCAGGACGGUGUAGCCCAGGGCUGCACGGAGCAGCAACCAUCCUCCCUGUGACCCAACCGCAGGCGGUGGUGCCAGCAGAUGCCCGGUGCCGGCAGCGGAACGGCACCCAGAGCCCAUCUGUGCAGCAGCAGCUGGGGGCAGAGCGGGGCGGUGCGGAGCAGCACCUGCAUGGGGAGCGGCCGGCGGUGAGACCUGUGCCCGAGAAUGGAGCGGGGAGCAGGGAGAAGCCUCCAGCGGGCAGCACGCCUGCACUGAGGGAAAAGCAGGAGAUCGCAAAGAAACCCAGCGUGGGGAAGAAGCCAGAGUGUGAGGGGAAGGAUGGGAAUGGGGAAAAGCCAAAGAUAACGCCAGGAGCAAUGGCAAAACCAGAGGGUGGGGGGAAAGUGGAGAGUGGAGGGAAAACUGAGAGUGGGAAAAAGCCAGGGACUGGGGGGAAGCCAACGGGUGGAGAGAAACCCGUGCUGGGGAAAAAGCCAGAGGCGGGGGGAAAGCCGGAGGCUGGGGGGAAACAGGAGAGUGGGGAGAAGCUCAAGUUGGGAGAGAAACAGCCCGAGCAUGGAGAUGGUGAGGUGGGUGAUGACAUUGAUGACGAUGAUGACGAUGACAGUGAUGACGAUGGUGAUGAGAAAAAAGGGUAUGAGGAUGAUAUGGCUGAUGACCAUGAUUAUUACUAUGGCUACAAUGACGACGAGGGCUAUGAUGAUGACGAUAAUGGUGACGGUAACAAUGGCAGUGAUGACAACGGUGGAAAUGGGAAUGACUAUGGAGAUGCCGAUGGAUACGGUGACGGUGAUGACUGAAGAUUACAGUGGUGGAGAUGGCAGCGAUGCUGGCGCGAUGAUGCUUGGUGACCAGCACUGUGGGGCGUGUGCAGGGCACAAGGUGCAAUGACAGCCCAUGGCAGGUGGGCACACGGAGCUGCCCCCAACCUCCCCUCGCCUCACUCUGCCAGGGCCAGUCCUGGACACCAGCGCUGUUUUGGGCAGGACCUUCUAUUUCCUAAUAAAUCCCACAGUGGGCCACUUGCUCAACACAACAAGCUGUCCCUUGUCACAGUGCCUGGCAUCUCCAAGCCAUCUGGGAGCUUGCAUGGAUGUACCGUUCCCAGCUUCUUCCACAGACCCAGAGAUGCCCCUGACACGUCAUAGCCUGGAGGAGCAGCCUGGCGUGAGGGCUGCAGGCAGGAUGUGUGUGCUGACCCCAGGACCAACUGUCUGCCAUGGCACUUCCCUCCCACGGGGAUUGGGGGUCCAACAAGGGUUCAGCAGGAGACUGACACCACGGAAACCAGCAGAGCUCAUUGCAGAUGGGAUUUAAUAGCAAGGAAGAAGCACAGAGACCCCCGUGCCCAGUUCUGAGCUGAGCGCUGAGGGGUGGAUUUGGGAUGGGGGAUGAUGGGUUCUCGCUCUGCAGUCGAUGGAUGAGUCCAUGUUUGGCUGCCC